CGGGCUGUAUGUGGAUUUGAGGUGGUCUGGAAGGAGGGAUUUCGCCUCUGAGUAGGUUGAAGCCUAGUCAGUCGCGUAAGAUUUUAGUUGGAAGUUGCGGGCCCAAGGCCUACUAGUGGGAAAAAGCGUAUUUUUAGAGUGCUUCCGCACCGCCCACGGCUGUGGGCUGGGACUACAAGUCCCGGCCCGCGGGAAUCCAGGAGCUAGGGCGGGAGAGGGCGGCGGUGGGAAAGAGAGGCAUGCUGGGUACUGUAGUUAUGUCACCUCAGCGGUCACAGCAGGUAUGUCUUCAUCUUCCUAGUGGUUUGGUGACUAUUGAAGGCAAUUAGACCAUGCCACUUUGGGGAAUGGCUAGGGCCAAGAGAAAUGAAACGUUUCUUGAGUGAAAGGACUUUUGCAAAUCCGUCUAAACCCUGGCGAGUGAGCGGCUGAGAUUUGGAGUGCAUCCUAAUACCUAACACGCCUGAGGCGAGGGCUCAGUGUUUGCUGAAAGGGAAUUUGUCUUGCGCUUAGAUUCGCAGCCCUUCAGAGGUGAUUAAUAGAGUUUUCUCCAUAGAACGGACUUUAUAAAACUUCAUGCAUCUUUGCAAAUCUUGUAAUCAGAGAAUAUCUGUUUUAGUCUAAUUCACCAUUUUACAAAAAAAAAAAAAAAUGAUUUGUCUAAGACCUCCCCCCCCCAGCAUAUUCUUAGCAGAGCCAAAACUAGAACUCAAAUCUUGUUGCCUUCAGUACAACACUUAUAUUGCCUCUCACUAAGGAAGGUAAACAUGUAGUAAUGUGACAGAAGUGAAGGAUUUGUUCUGUGGACUUCUUUUAGUCCCUUAUACCUACAAAAAACAUUUUUUACAGAUAAGCUUAGGGAAUUUGGUUAAAUAGGAAACAUAAGUGGUAGCCCCCUCUUCCCAGAUGAAUGUUUAGAACCACUAUGGAAUUUAAUGAUAAACUUCUUGGAAAAAAUAGCUCACAUUCACUGGAGACAUUAAUGAGAAAUAUGUCUAAAAGACAGGAAGCAGGAGAGACCUGGGUAAAUCUUCAACCUGGAUACUCAGAGAUAGAGACAGCCAGUGAGAGAGGGAACACAAUCAGGGGGAG